CAGCUAGUGAUUGAAAAUGUGAACGCUGACUUCAAAAAAGUGCUGCAUGCUCUGAAGAAUCCCAUUACUAAGGAACUGAUGCAACAAAAGGUGCUGGAGUGGAAGCUAUCGGAUCUCAGCAACUGGAAGCAAGGAAUAUGUCCAAGAUGGAUACCAGCAUGAUGAGUCUGGCCGUAUCAUCAUCUGCUGUAACAUGAACACAGUACUUUCAUCAGUGCUUUGGACUCUCACCGACAAGACGCUCUGUCAGCUGCCUCUCCAAGGAAUCAUACAAAUUGGAAUCGUUGGGUUAGGUUAAUAUGGACUAUUAUUUGUGCUCUAAAGAACCCAUCGUUUUUCUUCUUUCUCUACUAAGAAGAAGAGAAGGGGGAGAUGUGGGAUAAAGAAAGUCAUUAUCAUGCUAAUGAGUAAAAAAGCUUAGCAACUUGAGCCAGAUGUCAACACACACAAGGCACCUGGCUCCUACAUGUAACCAGUUGUUGUUGCAUGGGUGUAAAAGGUUGUAAGCACUUUCAAUAAAGAUCCUUCAUUCUGCACCAGCAAA